GACGGAGGAUGCAAGCGUUAUCCGGAAUGAUUGGGCGUAAAGCGUCCGCAGGUGGCAGUUCAAGUCUGCUGUCAAAGACCGGGGCUUAACUUCGGAAAGGCAGUGGAAACUGAACAGCUAGAGUAUGGUAGGGGCAGAGGGAAUUCCUGGUGUAGCGGUGGAAUGCGCAGAUAUCAGGAGGAACACCAAUAGCGAAGGCAGCUCGCUGGGACGGUACUGACGCUAAGGCGCGAAAGCGUGGGGAGCGAACAGG
rnacentral:rRNA from 1 species